CAAUGAGGUGGAGAUUUUCUAAGAAACGCAUCGGAGCCGUGGAUUCUGGGCCGUCGAGCUCUAUUUUCACGUCAUUCCAUGAUCGACGGUUCACACUUGGCAGUCACUCGUAGCCGUUAGAUCACCGCCGAAUGUGAUGCUAGAGAGAGGAAGAAAGAAGAAAAAGGCCAAAGGCGGAAGGGACAGAGAAAGGUGGUGGCAGUUUCGCGACGCAGCGCGAUUUUACGGUGCCAACCUUUGGUUUUCUUCGGUUUUUUUAUUUAUUAUUAUUUCUGUCGGAGCUCGUGCUUGAUAUUUUUGUGAGAGGAAUGAGCUUCAGAGCACUGAUGUGUGAAAUCUGUAAUGCUUUUUUGGGAUUUUCCUUUGACUUUCUUUUCUGGUUUAAAUUUCCACUCUCAGAUUUUAUUUUUAAUUUUUUAAAUUGGAAGAAAGAGUGAUAAUAUAUAGGGGGAGUCGGCAAUGAAGAUGGGUUUGGAAUUGUUGGGAGAUUCGCGCAUUAAUGGGGUUUUCUUUGAUUCUCCAAGUGAAUGAAUGUGAUUCAUCCGGUAUUUUGGUUCAAGGACUUUUUUUUCGGGUAUUUAUGAUCUUUUCUAUUUUGUCUGCCAAGUGCCAAUGUUACCUGGCUGGCUCUCUCUAACACACUCUCUCUCUCUGGCCCCCUUUUUCUGUUCUGUUACCCUGCUUUAUUUCACGAAGAACCUGAUUCUCUGAACACGAGGAACGAAUUUCCUUCGUUUGUUUUCUGCCAUAUCUUUACCAGCCUUUUGCCUCUGCCUCCUGUGUUCGUGUGUUUGUUUUUUUGUUCUAUUUCACCGUCGAGAUGCUUGCGAGCACUUCUACUGUGAGCUCAGAGAGAGAGAUAGAGAGAGAGAGAGAGAGAGAGAGAGAGAGAUGCGGAGGGAUAUGUGGCAACUAUAAUUAAUUUUGUCUUUCGUUGGAAAACCCAAACGCCACCUUUCCCGUUUUCUUUCCGGCGAGCUUUUCGCUAGAAACUAAAACAAAACAAGAAAAAAAGACUACGAUGUUCUCAUCUACUUCUUAUUCACAUUUUCAUUUUUUUCGUUCGUUGCAAUAACGGAAACAUUUUUUUCUCCGAGCUUUGAUUUCUCUGACUCGUCUUUCUCUUCUGUGAUUGAAGAAACUCAAAUUCUCGAAAGUCGAAUGAUCAUAAAUACAUAAAGAGAGCUGGGCGUUCAGUCUCGUGACUGGUUGGGUCCGAUUAAAUUCCGAGCCGUUGAAGCCUUUUUCAAAACUCAGAUGUUGGGAAGUCAGAAAUGGACAAAGUUCGAGACGUGAGGCGUGGAGCCAGUCGGUUCUCUCCUGCCAAGCCCGACAAGCUCUUCUCUGGGUCAGAUGGUGUUGGUGGGGACUUCGUACAUGGGGAAUGAUCGAAUGAAGAUAGAAGAUUGAGAGUUGUUGGUAGGACAAGCUCGAGCUACGAAGACGACGAAAUGGUUAGCGAUCUGUCCGACAAAGAAGAUGAGCUUCGCUUACAAGCACCGUCUAUGAGUAUUGGUUCUAGCAAGAGAUUUAAGAUUCCCAAAAAGUUUUUUUAUGACCGCAAUGGUGUGGAUCAGGCCUCUGUUCCGAGAAGGCUGCGUUCAGGUGCUUGGCGAAUCAAACAAGCUGACAUGAAGAAGCGCAAUCACGAAUCAGUUUCUCCACCUUUACCAGAUUCAAAGAAGGUGAACAGUACAAUCAGCGGAGUCGAAGAAUCACCCAUAAAAAAUGGUGUAAAGAAAUCUAAACUGAACUUGAAACAUAGAGGCUCAGACUGGUCCCCAGAACAGACUUUCUCUGGGCAAAUAACAAAAGAGGAGGAAGAAGUAGUGGAAACCUUGUAUGCAUUGGCUGGAAUGUUCCCCAACAAUGAUGCAAAUGAGAAGAGUAAAUUAGACAGAGAAUAUACAGAAGCAAGACCUUUGGCUUUUCCAGAGUCAAGGGAGAAUCCAUUGUCUAUGCAAGAUUCUGCAGUUACAAAUGACGACUUAAGUACAAUGCCUUGGAAAUUAUCCAAUGUUACCAAUCCCUCAUCCAACACGGAUAGUUUGCCCAAAGAAACUCCAAAAGUAGAUUCUUUGAAUGAACCCAGUAUUCAAGAACGGCCAGAUUUAUCUAACAGAGAGAAAAUUCAUAUGGAGUCAGAUUGUCCCGUUCCCCAAUUGAAUGCAAGUAGCAUGUCAUUCUUGGCUAAGAGUGACAGUGGCAGUGACGGUGAAAAGCCAUUGCGCAAUUAUGAGCUAAGCUUGACUGCCAGAUUAAAACUACCUACACAACCGGAGACCCCACUAAUUGAGAAAGAAUCAGAGAUGGCAAUGGGGCCAGUAAAUGUAAUUUCCAAGUCUAAACUAAAUGGGGCCAUAACUAUUGCAUCUGAACCGGAACAACCAAAAAUGAUCAAGGAGCCCAAGAAAAAUGGCUCGGCAUUGUGGCCAGGCUUGUCUUCAGUUGUGCCACAUGGAGUCGGGAGUCCUGGUCCUUCUUUACAGUCCCCUGCUGCUGAAGUUCCAGGUUGGCUCGAUACUGAAAUGAUUGCCCGCAGACACAGGUCAUUUGAAAAUGGUUCUUCAAGUGGAGAGGUUUCAAAAGUUGACAUCGAAAAAGAUACAUGGAAGAGGUGCUCUGCUCAUGUUCAUAUAAGUCAUCUCAUUCAGAAUUUACAAAUGCCAGAGAACCAAGGGAGGCUGCUGCUGCAAUCUAAUCAAUUGAAACUCGAGAAAGGACCAAAUCUUGGAGCUCGUAUGGCACUUAACAGCUUUCAUGGGGUGAGGACUAGUUUCAACGGCACUAUUUCUUCUACCACUACAUGCAAUUCAACUGAUGAAAGAAAUUCAAAUGACGCUAAAACUGGUAUUCUUUGGCAACAACAACUCCAUCAAGAUCAGCCCCAUGCUGCUCUGGCAUCUGAGGCGUACACUUCGCAGAAGCAGAGUUUCAAUUUCUUGUCCUUGUUCGCUGGAGGUGGUGGGAUGGAAGCUAAGAAUUGUGGUGAUAGAACUAUUUAUGGGUUGGAUCCUUCGUCACAAUGCCAAGUUCCUUAUCUUCAAUCUCUUGCACAACAGCAGACUCUUUUGCCUUUCGCUAUGCCUCAAACUCGCUAUACCUCCGCUGCUUACCCUGAUCAGCUUUCGAUAACAUCAUCAGCAGCAAAUAAGGUGCAGAUGCGGGUAGCUCCAUUUCUUGUCAAUCCAUUCAGCGGUCGUCAUGUAAGUUCUGCAGCCUUGACAACGCAGCAGCAGCAACAGCAACAACAACAGCAUCAGCUGCAGCAACAUCAACGACAUCAGCAACAGCAACACCUUUGGGCUGCCCAGCUAGCAGCUCAUUACAGGCAUGUGGCAACUUCAAUAUCCAUGACCCAAAUUUCGAGCUGGCAACAGGGAAGGCAGGAUCCUCCUAUGCUGAUCCCAUGUGCCCAAGCCAGUAUCCCACCAUCCCUAGAGGUACUUGGCCCUAAGUAUGCUACAGCCUCUCAACAAAAGCAGCGCCUUAUGGCCAUUACUCCAUCAUUGCCCCAGCCCAGAUUAAAAAACAAGACAACCUUUUCCCCUCUACCUACGGAGAGACCGAAGGAGGGUUCCAUGCCAGUGGCGUGCUGCCAUUGCAAUUACUCUGUAAUGAGCACCUUUGAUGUGACUUUCACUGGCAGUUUAAUAAGGCAAUGGGGUGGGCAAUACAAUAUUGCAUCAAUUCUUUCUGUUCAUACUCAAGUCUUCACGUGGCAUGAUCAAAAAAGUGCAGAUACAUGCAAGGUUCGACUGAUUGCCAUGUAUGGAAUAUCAAAUGAUCAGAAAAUAAUGCCGUGCAUUUCAUAAUAUCAAAUGAUCAGAGAAAGAAGAGCAUCCAAGUCAGGCAAAGGAAAAUUGCUGGGACAUGUGCAUAUGUUGGGGGAAAACCUGAGACCUGUCAGCUGCUGGAGAUGCUUUACUGCUUUAGGGGUUAAGGUUAAUGCUAACCACCCAAAGAAUGAAGGGGAAACGCCAAAAUAUAAAAAGGAUAAAGUAGUAAAGAAUGAGAUCAGAAUAUGGGUCUUAAGCAACUUCAGUGGAAUUCCGGCAUUGGCUCAGCGACAAUCACAGGAUGGGUUCUGCUAGGGAAAUGGUGAUGUCUCUCUCUCUCUCCCUCUCUCCCUCCUUUUUGGGGGUUGAAUAGACUAUCAAGAGGAAGAUUUUACAAACUACACUUUCAUCCCACUAUGAUAAGGUAGCAUUGUCCAUCAAUCUUUAAAUUUCUUCUUUAAAAAAAUACAGGAUGAUUAAGGGCAAUAAAAGUGCAACAUAUGACUAGAAUGAGAGUGAGAUGAGAAUGGUUUGUGGAUGUUCAUAGAUAACGAAUCAAUCCUUCAAAUAUGUUAGAACCAUGUACUCGAUUAUGCACCAUCAAUGUCAUUUUCAUUGCAUGAUAAUGCAUUUAAGUAUCGUGAAACGUGAUUUCAA